GACGAACGCUGGCGGCGUGCUUAACACAUGCAAGUCGAACGGUGAAGCGCCUUCCUUUUUGGUGGGUGUGGAUGAGUGGCGAACGGGUGAGUAACACGUGAGUAACCUGCCCCCUUCUUCUGGAUAACCGCAUGAAAGUGUGGCUAAUACGGGAUAUUCUGGGUCUGUCGCAUGAUGGGUCUGGGAAAGAUAUUGUUUCGGUGGGGGAUGGGCUCGCGGCCUAUCAGCUUGUUGGUGGGGUGAUGGCCAACCAAGGCGGUGACGGGUAGCCGGCCUGAGAGGGUGGACGGUCACACUGGGACUGAGACACGGCCCAGACUCCUACGGGAGGCAGCAGUGGGGAAUAUUGCACAAUGGGCGCAAGCCUGAUGCAGCGACGCCGCGUGAGGGAUGGAGGCCUUCGGGUUGUGAACCUCUUUCGCCAGUGAAGCAGGCCUGCCUCGUUUGUGGGUGGGUUGACGGUAGCUGGAUAAGAAGCGCCGGCUAACUACGUG
rnacentral:rRNA from 1 species